UACAUGGGGUGCAAACGUUGCUCGGAAUUAUUGGGCGUAAAGGGCGCGUAGGCGGUUACUCAAGUCGGAUGUGAAAGCCCUCGGCUUAACUGAGGAAGUGCACCCGAAACUGAGUAGCUAGAGUACUAAAGAGGGUCGCGGAAUUCCCGGUGUAGAGGUGAAAUUCGUAGAUAUCGGGAGGAACACCGGUGGCGAAGGCGGCGACCUGGGUAGAUACUGACGCUGAGGCGCGAAAGCGUGGGGAGCAAACAGG
rnacentral:rRNA from 1 species